UUCGCCGCCCCCGACGUCGCGAGAAGUCCAUUGAACCUUAUCAUUUAGAGGAAGGAGAAGUCGUAACAAGGUUUCCGUAGGUGAACCUGCGGAAGGAUCAUUG
rnacentral:ncRNA from 1 species